UACGUAGGGUGCAAGCGUUAAUCGGAAUUACUGGGCGUAAAGCGUGCGCAGGCGGCUUUGCAAGACAGAUGUGAAAUCCCCGGGCUUAACCUGGGAACUGCAUUUGUGACUGCAUGGCUGGAGUGCGGCAGAGGGGGAUGGAAUUCCGCGUGUAGCAGUGAAAUGCGUAGAUAUGCGGAGGAACACCGAUUGCGAAGGCAGUCCCCAGAGCUGUCACUGACGCUCAUGCACGAAAGUGUGGGGAUCAAACAGG
rnacentral:rRNA from 1 species